UGGAAGAAAAAAGUGGAGAAAAUGUUUUGGCUCCUCUUUGAGCCUUUAUGAAGUCUUGACUGGACAAAGGCUCAGAGAGGAGCCGAAACGUUUUCUCCACUUUUUUGUUCU